CCUACGGGAGGCAGCAGUGGGGAAUAUUGCGCAAUGGGCGCAAGCCUGAUGCAGCAACGCCGCGUGAGGGACGACGGCCUUCGGGUUGUAAACCUCUUUUAGUAGGGAAGAAGCGAAAGUGACGGUACCUGCAGAAAAAGCACCGGCUAACUACGUGCCAGCAGCCGCGGUAAUACGUAGGGUGCAAGCGUUAUCCGGAAUUAUUGGGCGUAAAGAGCUCGUAGGCGGUUUGUCGCGUCUGCUGUGAAAACUGGAGGCUCAACCUCCAGCCUGCAGUGGGUACGGGCAAACUAGAGUGCGGUAGGGGAGGUUGGAAUUCCUGGUGUAGCGGUGGAAUGCGCAGAUAUCAGGAGGAACACCGAUGGCGAAGGCAGAUCUCUGGGCCGUAACUGACGCUGAGGAGCGAAAGCAUGGGGAGCGAACAGGAUUAGAUACCCUGGUAGUCCAUGCCGUAAACGUUGGGCGCUAGAUGUGGGGACCAUUCCACGGUUUCCGUGUCGCNGCUACGACAUAGCGCCCGCCGUCGGGAGGUACGGCCGCGACGGACGUAAACGUAACGUAAAGAAAGUUAGACGGUCGUUGAGACGUUGCCGACGGCGACGACGAGGGAGGAGG
rnacentral:rRNA from 1 species